rnacentral:lncRNA from 1 species
GUUGGAGCAGCUCAUCCUUCUAUCUUCUCAUGCUUCUCUCUGUUGUUUCUUUGCCACAGGAUUUGGGAAUCUCAUCACUGCUCUCUUCAUUCAGACCCAGAGGUUCCUCUUCUGCUGCACUUGAGCUUCUCUUGCUUGGAGCUGGGAUCCAGCCGUAGGAAACUGUACUCGGGCUACCUGGACCACUUCCAUAGUUCAGCAGGAGUAGGAGCCAUCAUUUCCACUACAACGCUGAAGAUCAAGGCUGGCCAUGCUGAGAUUCGGGCAGCACCUCAUCAAGCCCUCGGUGGUGUUCCUGAGGACGGAGCUGAGCUUCGCCCUGGUGAACCGCCGGCCCGUCGUGCCAGGACGUAUCCUUGCCAUGCUCCUGGGAAAAGCAGGAUGUGCUUGGAAGGCCAGGUAGGACACGACACGGGUUUAUUCCAAAUCCAGGCAGUGAUGC